GAUCCUGGCUCAGGACGAACGCUGGCGGCGCGCCUAACACAUGCAAGUCGAACGGAGCUGAGAGGAGCUUGCUUUUCUUAGCUUAGUGGCGAACGGGUGAGUAAUGCGUGAGUAACCUGCCCUGGAGUGGGGGACAACAGUUGGAAACGACUGCUAAUACCGCAUAAGCCCACGGCCCGGCAUCGGGCUGAGGGAAAAGGAUUUAUUCGCUUCAGGAUGGACUCGCGUCCAAUUAGCUAGUUGGCG
rnacentral:rRNA from 1 species